CUCUGUGGUACGGACGGAGUACGAAACAAUCAAUUAUUCCUGGGGCAUCCGAGAGAAAAGAAAAAGGAAAAGACGUUAAACCGAGAGGGAGAAAGAUCAGCGUUUUCCAACCAAAAUUUGUAGAGGGGAGGCUAAAGAGAGACAGCUUCUGAAAAUGGCACUGAGAGCUGUAGGAAGACUCGUUUCUCAAAGGCUCUCCCAAGGAGCUUCUAGGAACUUUUGUUCGAAUGCAGUACCUUCUAAGAAUGCUCAGGUCAAGUCUAUGGAGCACCAGGGCAGCAACGAGAUUUUGGAGGAACUCGAUGAAGUCACCCGCGAUUGUAUGCAUCACAAUAAUUUCCUUGAAGCUAAACGUGACUCAAAAGCUUCCUAUAUAAACAUAUGAACUGUUUAUUUUUCGGCUGCAUUGAUUUAUUUUGGGCAAUCCAUUCAUAAUACAAAAAGCUCAUGCUCACAAACAAUCGUUGGGAUGCCACGCUGAGAGACACUUUCAUCUCA